CAGCACAAUGAUUUUUAAAUUCAUCUGUCUUUGUGUAUCAGUGACUCAUUCCUUUUUAUUGGUGAAUAAUAUUCCACUCCACUCAUUCCUUUUUACUGGUGAAUAAUAUUAAUCUGUUCACCAGCUGAUUGUCUGCUUUGUUUCCAGUUUUUGAAUAUUAAGAAUAAACGAGUUCCAACUGUGAUGCAAUGGGACCAGAGGCAUCUUGGGAGCCCUGGGAUAUGGGUUCAAUUCCCAGCCCAGAACAGUGGAUUAAAGAAUUGGCAUUGCUGUACCUGUGGUUUAGGUUGAGACUGCAGCUUAGACCUGAUCCCUGGCCUGGGAGCUCCAUAUGCCUCUGGGUGACCAAAAAUGAAAAAAAAAAAAAAAAAAAGAAUGAAGAUUCCAUGAGCAUUCGUGGAGAAAUCUUUGUGUGAAAAUAGGUGGCUGAACUUAAGCAAAUAAAUGUCUAGGAUUGAAACUGCUGGGUCACAUAAGUCACGUAGUAGGUACAAACUUAAUGUUUUCCAUAUUGGCUGUGCUAUUUUUACAUUCCUUCUAGCAGCAUAUGAAAAGUCCAGUUGUUCCAUAUUGUUGCCAACAUGUGGGAUUGUCAGUGUUUUAUUUAUAGUCUUUCUAAUGAGUAUUUGGUGGAACUCACUGUAGUUAUAAUUUCCACUCUCUUUAUGACCGAAGAUAUUGAACAUCUUUCUGUGUGCUUAUUAUUCAUUCAUAUCUUAUUUUGGGAAGUAUCUGUUCAAAUAUAUUGCACAUCUUUUAUUGAGCUGUCUUAUUACUGAAUUUUAAGAGUUCUUUAAAAACUCUAAAUAUAAGUCCUUUGUUGCAUAUGCAUAUUAUGAAUAUUUUCUGCCUUUCUGUUGCUUGACUUAUCAUUUUCUUACUGGUAUCUUUUAAAGUUUUCACUUUCAUACACCACAUUAACAAAAGAAAAGUUAAAAACCAGAUGAUCAUCUCAAUAGAUGCAGAAAAAGCAUUUGACUUUUGCCCAACAUCCAUUCAUGAUAAAAACUCUUACCAACGUGGGUAUAGAUGGAACAUACUUUAACGUAACAAAAGCCUUUUAUGACAAACCCACAGCCAAUAUAAUACUCAAUGGAGAGAAUGAAGCCCUCCCAUUAAAAUCUGGAACAAGACAAGGAUGCCCACUAUCACCACUUUGAUUCAACAUAGUAUUGGAAGCCCUAGCCACAGCAAUCAGGCAAACAAAAAAAAAAUAAAAGAUAUCCAAAUUGGAAGAGAUGAGGUAAAACUGUCACUCCAUGCAGAUGACAUGAUACUCUAAAUAGAAAACCCUAAGGACUCCACAAAAAAACUACUCAAAUUGAUCAAUGAAUUCAGCAAAGUAGCAGAUACAAGAUUAACGUUCAGAAAUUGGUUGCAUUUCUGUAUACUAACAAUGAAAUAUUAGAAAAAGAAUAUAAAAAUACAAUGCCUUUUAAAAUUGCACCGUAAAAGAUUAAAUACAUAGGAAUAAAUCUGACCAAGGAGGUGAAAGACUUAUAUGCUGAGAACUAUAAAAUAUUAAUCAAGGAAAUUAAAAAGGAUUCAAAGAAAUGUAAAGCUAUCCCAUGCUCCUGGAUUGGAAGAAUUAAUAUCAUAAAAAUGGCCAUCCAACCCAAAGCAAUCUAUAGAUUCAAUGUGAUGCCUAUCAAAUUAGCAAUGACAUUUUUCAGAGAAUUAGAACAAACAAUCCAAAAAUUUAUAUGGAACCAUAAAAGACCCAGAACUGCCAAAGCAAUCCUGAGGAACAAAAACCAAUCAGGAGGCAUAACUCUCCCAGCCUUCAGGCAAUAUUACAAAGCUACAGUAAUCAAGAAAGUGUGAUACUGGUAUGAAAACAGACAUACAGACCAAGAGAACAGAAUAGAGAACCCAGAAAUAAACCCAGACACCUACAGUCAAUUAAUCUUUGACAAAGGGGGCAAAAAUAUUAAAAAAAAAAGUCUCUUUGGCAAGUGGUGCUGGGAAAACUGGACAGCUGCAUGUAAAUCAAUCAAACUAGAACAUACCCUCAUAUCAUGCACAAACAUAAACUCAAAAUGGCUUAAAGACUUAAACAUAAGACAAGACACUAUCAAACUCCUAGAAGAGAACAUAGGCAAAACAUUCUCUGACAUCAACUGUACCAGUGUUUUUUUUUAGGUCAGUCUCCUAAAGCAAUAGAAAUAAAAACAAAAAUAAACCAAUUGGACAUGAUUGAACUUAAAAGCUUUUGCACAGCAAAGGAAACCAUAAAAAAAGACAACAUAUGGAAUGGGAGAAAAUAGUUUCAAAGGAUGCAGCAGAAAAGGGCUUAAUCUCCAAAAUAUACAAACAACUCAUACAACUCAAAAACAAAAAAAUAAAUAACCCAAUUGAAAAAUGGGCAGGAUCCCCCCCCAAAAAAGAUAUAUGUGAUCAUACACAUUCUGUAAUAUGUGUACUGUUCACAUAAAUGCACUCAAAAUUUUAAAAGCUUUACAGUUUCGGAGUUCCUGUCAUGGAUCAGUGUUUAACGAAUCCGACUAGUAUCCAUGAGGACAUGGGUUCGAUCCUUGGCCUCGCUCAGUGGGUUAAGGAUCUGGCAUUGCCAUGAGCUGUGGUGUAGGGGCGGCUCAGAUCCUGUGUUGCUACGGCUGUGGUGUAGGCCAGCAGCUACAGUUCCAAUUGGACCCCUAGCCUGGGAACCU
rnacentral:lncRNA from 1 species